rnacentral:misc_RNA from 1 species
AAGUCGUAACAAGGUCUCCGUAGGUGAACCUGCGGAGGGAUCAUUAAUGGGCGAGGGGCCCCCCGGCCCGACCUCCCAACCCUUUGUUGACCAAGUCCCCGUUGCCUCGGGGGGCGACCCGGCCGCCGACGCCGGCGCCCCCGGCGGUCCACUCAAACUCUGUUCCUAUACGUCGGGUCGAUUGCAAAUCAAUCAAAA